GAUGAACGCUGGCGGCGUGCCUAAUACAUGCAAGUAGAACGCUGAAGCUUGGUGCUUGCACCGAGCGGAUGAGUUGCGAACGGGUGAGUAACGCGUAGGUAACCUGCCUCUUAGCGGGGGAUAACUAUUGGAAACGAUAGCUAAUACCGCAUAAAAGUCGAUAUCGCAUGAUAUUGAUUUGAAAGGUGCAAUUGCAUCACUAAGAGAUGGACCUGCGUUGUAUUAGCUAGUUGGUGAGGUAACGGCUCACCAAGGCGACGAUACAUAGCCGACCUGAGAGGGUGAUCGGCCACACUGGGACUGAGACACGGCCCAGACUCCUACGGGAGGCAGCAGUAGGGAAUCUUCGGCAAUGGGGGCAACCCUGACCGAGCAACGCCGCGUGAGUGAAGAAGGUUUUCGGAUCGUAAAGCUCUGUUGUAAGAGAAGAACGAGUGUGAGAGUGGAAAGUUCACACUGCGACGGUAACUUACCAGAAAGGGACGGCUAACUACGUGCCAGCAGCCGCGGUAAUACGUAGGUCCCGAGCGUUAUCCGGAUUUAUUGGGCGUAAAGCGAGCGCAGGCGGUUAGAUAAGUCUGAAGUUAAAGGCUGUGGCUUAACCAUAGUACGCUUUGGAAACUGUUUAACUUGAGUGCAGAAGGGGAGAGUGGAAUUCCAUGUGUAGCGGUGAAAUGCGUAGAUAUAUGGAGGAACACCGGUGGCGAAAGCGGCUCUCUGGUCUGUAACUGACGCUGAGGCUCGAAAGCGUGGGGAGCAAACAGG
rnacentral:rRNA from 1 species